GUCUGCAACCCGACUCCACGAAGUUGGAUUCGCUAGUAAUCGCGCAUCAGCCAUGGCGCGGUGAAUACGUUCCCGGGCCUUGUACACACCGCCCGUCAAGCCAUGGGAGCCGGGGGCGCCUGAAGUCCGGGACCGCGAGGACCGGCCUAGGGCGAAACUGGUGACUGGGGCUAAGUCGUAACAAGGUACC
rnacentral:rRNA from 1 species